UCCUAGCUUGUACUGUCUUCCUGCCUCUGG
rnacentral:piRNA from 1 species